GCAAGGCAAGUCUACCAGUGACAAAUUCUCUUAAUUUUUGUUGUCUAAGAAAGUUUUUACUUCUCUUUACAAUUCUAGAUUGUUGUUCUUUUUUCUUUCAAUGCUGUAAAUAUUUCCUCCAGUCUCUUCUUGCUUGAAUGGUUUCUGAUGAGAAGUCUAAUGUAAUUCUUAUUCUUGUACCCCUAUAGGUAAGUUUCCCCACCCUCUGAUUUAUUUCAUGAUUUUUCUCUGUCUUUGAUCUUUCUGAAGUUUGAAUAUGAUAUACCUUGAUGUAGAUUUUUUUAUAUUUAUCCUGCUUAGUAUACUGUGAGCUUCCUGUACCUGUGGUUUGGCAUCUACCAUUAAUUUUAGAAAAGUCUCAGUCAUUAUUGACUCAAAUACUUCUGUUCCUGUCUCUCUCCUUCUGAUAUUUCCACUAUGCAUAUAUUAAGCCAUUUGUAAUUGUCCCACAGUUCUUAGAUACUCUGUUUCAAGAAUAUCUUCAGACAUUUCUUCAAGCUCAUUGAUUGUUUCCUUGGCUGUGUCUAGUCUGUUGACCAACCCAUCAAAAGAGCUGUUUCUGUUACAAAUUUUUUGGUUUCUAGCAUUUGCUUUUGAUUCUUAAAGUUUCAUCUCUCUGCUUAUAUUUACUCACCAGAUCUUGCAUGUUGCCAACUUCUUGCAUUAGAGCCCUUAGCACACUCAUCAUACUUCAAAUUCCUGGCUUGAUAAUUAUAACAUAUUUGCUAUGUCUGAGUCUGGCUGGAUCUGUUGCUUGCUGUAUCUCUUCAAAGUCUAUGUUUUUUCUUUUAGCAUGCUUUGAAAUUUCUUAACGCUAGACAUGGUGCACUAGAUAAAAGAAACUGAGACAAAUAAGCCUUUGGUGUGAGAUUUUACGUUUAUCUGGCUAGGAGUUAGGCUCUGUUUGCUGUUUGCUAUUUGCUAUAGCUAUAGGUGUCAGAGCUAAAAUUUCCUCUGGUGUUCUUGUUUUCGUCUCCUCCAUUGUCUUUGGGUUUUCCUAGAGAUUUCUUCAAUAAGGCCUGAGAAGUGCAGUUUCAUCGCCUGUUACCGUACACCAGCCUGUGGAUGUGGUGAAGUGUUCAUUAGCUCUCCCAAUAGAUCCUAGUUGUUCAGUGAGCCUGCGCCUCCAGGCUGGGACCUUCACAAGCACUUUUCUGUGUGGGGUUUUUCCUCCUUAGAGAAAUGGAAAGGCAGAGGGGUCAAGAAUUGGGCAUGUCCCUUUCCCCAAGUCAGUUAGGUUCUGGUAAAACCCGAAUAAGCUAAGCUCUGAUUAAACAGUUUACCUUGAGGACAGGCCUUAACAAGAACAGAGUAAUCUGGGUAUAUCUCAGAAUGGCUACUCUUCCUGUCCCAGUGCCAGGAAACUUGUGCAAGUUUCCUCCCCCCUUAGCCCCCACCCUGGCCUCCGCUGUGAGAACCUGGUAGGGCUCCUUGAGGUAAAACUCAAAAAAGUAUGGGGGUCUCCCUAAGAAUGGGCCCUCCUGAAGUUUUAUUGACUCUCAAACUUGUCCACACUGAGCCUCCAGCAAUUCAUCACUUAUACUCUGAUUUUUCCUGCCCCAGUUUCUGCCCCGGGCGUCUGCUCCAUACUCGAAAGGUGUCAUUCCGCUGACGGUCAGUGUGACAAGCUCUGAGGGAGUCCGGGCACACUUGACCGAAUCACAAAGCGAGGCGGCUCCUCUGUAAGACUUGCUCCUGGGGGCAAGCUCACGCAGAGAGGAAGAGAGAGAGAAAACUUUGCAGUGAGAG